UACGUAGGGGGCAAGCGUUAUCCGGAAUUACUGGGUGUAAAGGGUGCGUAGGCGGCACGCCAAGUCAGUUGUGAAACCCGUAGGCUCAACCUACGGCUUGCAAUUGAAACUGGCGAGCUAGAGUACAGGAGAGGAAAGCGGAAUUCCUAGUGUAGCGGUGAAAUGCGUAGAUAUUAGGGAGAACACCGGUGGCGAAGGCGGCUUUCUUGACUGAAACUGACGCUGAGGCACGAAAGCGUGGGGAGCAAACAGG
rnacentral:rRNA from 1 species